UACAGUUUUAAAUCUAUGUGUUUGUUAUUAUUUUUUGAGCUUUCUUCUUUCACAAACUUCAACAUUUGAGAUCUAGAUGCAAUACUUUGUUCUGAAUUUUGGUUGAGGUGUGUAACAUUCGGGUUUUCAUUAAAUUCAUCUCAUAAGUAUUGUCAACUGCAGUUUAGUAAGUGCAAUUUAAGUUCGUGGAAUCGCGAAUUUUCGUGUUCAUUUGCUGUCAGGCCUUUUAAUUAUGCUCACAGAAGAGGAUUUUUCUAUUUAAGCGGAUGGAGGUAGUGUUGCAGGCAAAAGAUGCAUUAGAAUCGGCUUAUGGAGGGAAAGGCCCUGUCAAGUCAAUCUGGUUCUCGUUUAUUCCGAAAAAUCUCAUGAUUUUGUGGUCAACAUCUCUGAGGAAAUUCUGAAGGUUAAAAAAGGAGUUGAAACUGAGUUUUCUGGUGUUGAUCCAAGUUGGGGUCAUGGGGGAAAGCAAAUAAUGUGAGGGAGAAAACAAAAUAGAAGAGAAGAAAAGCAUGUAGUUACUAAUGUUUUGAUCUUCACUACACAUUGAAGUUGAGAUCUAAUUUGACUUUGUUAUACCAUUUCUGAGUUUAUCAGUAUCACACUUGUCAAAAUAUGAUCUUCACUGCAAUUCGGUUUCCUUUGUCAUUUGGAUUAUAGGAAGUUUAUCCUUCGCAUGUUGCAUCGACGUUUACACUUUCUGUGGCAUUUAUGGAAGCUCUGAGUAUAGUGUUUGAACAUCUCAGCCACAACUACAAGUAAGCUCUGUCUCCCUCCAUUUUAUUUUUCAUGACGCAUUUUUUUGCCGUGUUGUGUUCACUUCCUGUUUGAAAAGUGAUUUUGAUUGGAGCUAUCAGCUUCACUGAAUAUUUGUUAUCUUGUUUUAUGCUUUUCCAUUAUGAGAAUGUCUCACCACAGAAAAUAUAUUAAAACACAACUAAAUAUAGUAAGUUUCAUGUGGCCAAGCAUUUUACAGUUGAUCAAUAUUUGGUCCAGUAUGUCGAAAACAAUGCAUCUUACCAUUUGCUUCUGGUACAUUUCUUAAUACAAUAGCAGCAGCUUUGAUGAUAAUGUCAUUCACUUGGACUUUUCCGUCAAACUUUGCUGAGAAAAAAAUGAGAUUGAACUUAUAUUAGUGCUUUGAGAAGAGAGAAGGAAUAAAACAGAGAUGAAAGGCACAUAUCUUUAAGCUCCUUCCUAAAGGAGAGGAGUACAUUAAUUUUAGGAAGUUUGAGACCUGUGGACAAAUAUAAAUGAGAUAUAGAUCCAUUUCCUGUCAAAUUCAUUUCGAGAAAUCCAAGUACAAUUUCUCCGGCAAGAAUAGCCUGUUCCGAUCUCGUAAAUCGACGUUGUUUUACCUUUGUCCCCUUCGUUUACUUUUUUCAAAUUCUGAAGUUCCAAUUUUUGUUUUUCAAGGUUUCUGACCAAAAUGGAUAAGGUGAAAAUUGAGGAAUUGAAAAUUCAAAUGCAUAAACGGUUGAACGAAUCCCAAGAAUUUAUUUAGCAAGUUCCACCAAUUCAGCUUUAUGCCGCAAUUAGAGUUGUCUUGUUCACCACACUUCUCUUCAUUAUUGGUAAUUUCUCACUUUGAGAGUGUUUGAAUUUGCUAAAAUUUUAAUUUAGAUGUAUUCUUCUCCUCUAUUGAAUUACUGCAUUUUUUUAACGGGAUGUGUUGAUGCAUAGUUUAUCGAAAUUUCUUUGGUGUCAGAAGCAAUAAAUUGGUUGUUGUAUUGAAGCUUGAAAUUAGUCGUCAUGAAGAUUUUAGAAAUUCAAUUGUGUCAUAGAAAUUUCGCUGGUUUUUUGGAUCUUGGAUUCAAAAAAUUCCAGAAAACCUUCAUUCAAAAACGUAACCUUAAUUUUGAUCCUAUUUUCUAUUGUAUAAAGUAUUAUAGUACCCAUUUUAGUUAAAACUUGUAAUUUUGUUAGAUGGUGCUAUUAAUUUGAUCCAAUUUUCUGUCUUAAGUAUUAAAGUGGACCUUUAAGUUGAAACUUACAAUUUUGUUAACAUGGUGCGAUGGAGUAGGCAAUGCUGCCUGAAGUAAGUAAUUUUAGUUGAGACCUAACUAUUUGGAGUGACAAAGGGCUUAGGCUCAGUGGAUCGUGGAAGUAAGGCUACUCACUCCUUUACAAUACUCCACCACAUGUUUAGUCAUUUGCAUUAUCUUCAAAGUUGCUAAAGCAGCACAACCACCAAGAUGGCUUGGCCAAUGACAUGUUGUUCAAUGUCAGGGAUAUAACGGGAUAUAUGAACUUUUUAAAAAGAUGAAGGUUAGUGAUUUUGGUGGUGUUACUUCAAAAGGAGGGUUGUUGAUGUUUGUCUUCUUUGCCGUUUUCAAUCGGAGCUCAUCGAAGUUGCGAACCAUUGGUGAUUAUGUCUUCCGAUUGACUGCUGAACUAAUUGUACAUAAAUUUCCGUUUCUCGAUUGAAGUUGGAAUUUAUGUUUUGUCUGUUGAUAAUGCAGUAGAAAUGGGGAGAUUUUCCUUCAAAACUGUAAAGUGCUAAAUCUA